rnacentral:rRNA from 1 species
GACGAACGCUGGCGGCGUGCUUAACACAUGCAAGUCGAGCGGUAAGGCUCCUUCGGGAGUACACGAGCGGCGAACGGGUGAGUAACACGUGAGCAAUCUGCCCUUCACUUUGGGAUAACCCCGGGAAACCGGGGCUAAUACCGAAUACGACCACCGAUGGCAUCGUCUGGUGGUGGAAAGUUCCGGCGGUGAAGGAUGAGCUCGCGGCCUAUCAGCUAGUUGGUGGGGUAACGGCCCACCAAGGCAUUGACGGGUAGCCGGCCUGAGAGGGUGACCGGCCACACUGGGACUGAGACACGGCCCAGACUCCUACGGGAGGCAGCAGUGGGGAAUAUUGGACGAUGGGCGAAAGCCUGAUCCAGCAACGCCGCGUGAGGGAUGACGGCCUUCGGGUUGUAAACCUCUUUCAGCAGGGACGAAGCGAAAGUGACUUUACCUGCAGAAGAAGCACCGGCCAACUACGUGCCAGCAGCCGCCGUAAGAC